GGGCCCGCACAAGCGGUGGAGCAUGUGGUUUAAUUCGAUGAUACGCGAGGAACCUUACCAGGGCUUAAAUGGGAGAUGACAGGGGCAGAGACGCCCUUUUCUUCGGACAUCUUUCAAGGUGCUGCAUGGUUGUCGUCAGCUCGUGCCGUGAGUGUCAGGUUAAGUCCUAUAACGAGCGCAACCCCUACCGUUAGUUGCCAGCGAUUCAAGUCGGGGACUCUAACGGGACUGCCGGUGCAAACCGUGAGGAAGGUGGGGGACGACGUCAAAUCAUCACGGCCCUUACGUCCUGGGCUACACACGUGCUACAAUGUCGUCACAGGAGGGAAGCUCCCCGACAAGGGG
rnacentral:rRNA from 1 species